AGUGAACGCUGGCGGUAGGCCUAACACAUGCAAGUCGAACGGCAGCACAGUAAGAGCUUGCUCUUACGGGUGGCGAGUGGCGGACGGGUGAGGAAUACAUCGGAAUCUACUUUUUCGUGGGGGAUAACGUAGGGAAACUUACGCUAAUACCGCAUACGACCUACGGGUGAAAGCAAGGGAUCUUCGGACCUUGCGCGAUUGAAUGAGCCGAUGUCGGAUUAGCUAGUUGGCGGGGUAAAGGCCCACCAAGGCGACGAUCCGUAGCUGGUCUGAGAGGAUGAUCAGCCACACUGGAACUGAGACACGGUCCAGACUCCUACGGGAGGCAGCAGUGGGGAAUAUUGGACAAUGGGCGCAAGCCUGAUCCAGCCAUACCGCGUGAGUGAAGAAGGCCUUCGGGUUGUAAAGCCCUGUUGUUGGGAAAGAAAAGCAGCAGGUGAAUACCCCGCUGUUCUGACGGUACCCAAAGAAUAAGCACCGGCUAACUUCGUG
rnacentral:rRNA from 1 species